rnacentral:rRNA from 1 species
AUACGGAGGGUGCAAGCGUUACUCGGAAUCACUGGGCGUAAAGCGCGCGCAGGCGGCUUGAUAAGUUGGAUGUGAAAGCCUACGGCUCAACCGUAGAACUGCAUCCAAAACUGUCAGUCUAGAGUCUGGGAGGGGAAGAUGGAAUUAGUUGUGUAGGGGUAAAAUCCGUAGAGAUAACUAGGAAUACCAAAAGCGAAGGCGAUCUUCUGGAACAGUACUGACGCUGAGGCGCGAAAGCGUGGGGAGCAAACAGGAUUAGAUACCCCUGUAGUCC